UCCUAUUGCGGGUGAGCGUGCAAGCACGCCA
rnacentral:sRNA from 1 species